UAAGUGAAGAGUUUGAUCAUGGCUCAGAUUGAACGCUGGCGGCAGGCCUAACAUACAAGUCGAACGGUAACAGGAAGCAACGCUUGCUUUGCUGACAGUGGCGGACGGUGAGUAUGUCUGGGAAACUGCCUGAUGGAGGGGAUAACUACUGGAAACGGUGGCUAAUACCGCAUAACGUCACCAAGACAGGGGACCUUCGAGGCCUCUUGCCAUCGAAUGUGCCCAGAUGGGAUGGCUAGUUGGUGAGGUAACGGCUCACCAAGGCGACGAUCUAACUGGUCUGAGAGGAUGACCAGCCACACUGGAACUGAGACACGGUCAGACUCCUACGGGAGGCAGCAGUGGGGAAUAUUGCAAUGGGCGCAAGCCUGAUGCAACCAUACCGCGUGUGUAUGAAAGAAGGCCUUCGGGUUGUAAAAGUACUUUCAGGGAGGAAGGUGUUGUGGUUAAUAACCACAGCGGUGACACCCGCAGAAAAAGCACCAACUAACUCCGUGCCAGCGGCGCCGCGGUAGCCUGGAGAGUGCAAGCGUUAAUCAGGUUACUGGGCGUAAAGCGCGCACGCAGGCGGUCUGUCAAGUCGGAUGUGAAAUCCCCGGGCUCAACGCGGGAACUGCAUUCGAAACUGGCAGGGGCAGGUCUUGUAAGGGGAAUUCGGUGUAGCGGUGAAAUGCGGCCAGAGAUCUGGAGGAAUACACCGGUGGCGAAACGGCCCCCACGGACAAAGACUGACGCUCAGGUGCAGCGAUGGGGAGCAAACGGGGAUUAGAUACCACGGUAGUCCACGCCGUAAACGAUGUCUACUUGGAGGUUGUGCCCUUGAGGGCGUGGCUUCCGGAGCUAACGCGUUAAGUAACCGCACAGGGGUAUUGCAAGGUUAAAACUCAAAUGAAUUGACGGGGGCCCGCACAAGCGGUGGAGCAUGUGGUUUAAUUCCGUGCAACGCGAAAGAACCUUACACAGUCUUAUGACAUCCACAGAACUUUCAGAGAUGGACUGGUGCCUUCGGGAACUGUAGAGACAGGUGCUGCAUGGCUGUCGUCAGCUCGUGUUGUGUGUUGGGUUAGAGAUCCCGCAACGAGCGCAACCUUAUCGCUUGUUGCCAGCGGUUGGGCCGGGAACUCAAAGGAGACUGCCAGUGAUAUUAAACUGGAGGAAGGUGGGGAUGACGUCAAGUCAUCAUGGCCCCACCCACGACGGGGCUACACACGUGCUACAAUGGCGCAUACAAAGCGACCUCGCGAAAGGCAAGCGGACCUCAUAAAAGUGCGUCGUAGUCCCGGAUUGGAGUCUACGCUCGACUCCAUGAAGUCCGGAAUCGCUAGUAAUCGUGGAUCAGAAUGCCACGGUGAAUACGUUUCCCAGACGCGGCCUACACACACCGCCAUCACACCACGUAGGGGAAUUGGUUGCAAAGAAGGUAGCUUAACCUUCGGGAGGCGCUUACCGCUUUGCAGUUCAUGACUGGGGUGAGAAGUCGUAACACCAUAAAGGUAACCGUAAGGGGGAACCUGCGGCUGGAUCACCUCACUA
rnacentral:rRNA from 1 species